rnacentral:rRNA from 1 species
UACGUAGGGUGCUAGCGUUGUUCGGAAUCAUUGGGCGUAAAGCGCGUGUAGGCGGUCAGGCAAGUCAGAUGUGAAAUCCCUGGGCUCAACCGAGGAAGUGCAUCCGAAACUGCUUGGCUAGAAGACGGUAGAGGAAGGUGGAAUUCCUAGUGUAGAGGUGAAAUUCGUAGAUAUUGGGUGGAACACCGGUGGCGAAAGCGGCCCCCUGGCCCGGCCCUGACGCUGAGGCGCGAAAGCGUGGGGAGCAAACAGG